AUCGCUUCUCGCCUUUUGGCUAAGAUCAAAGUGUAGUAUCUGUUCUUAUCAGCUUAAUAUCUGAUACGUCUCCUAAUGGAGACAUCGAUAUUAAACUGAUUUUUAGAAUGGGAUGAGGUGCCACGGGGCUUGCUCCGCCCUCAUCACGGGUUGACCCGGUAUUGCAGUACCUCCGGGAAUGGCCCACCACUC
rnacentral:snRNA from 1 species